UACAGAGGUCCCAAGCGUUGUUCGGAUUCACUGGGCGUAAAGGGUGCGUAGGUGGUCGGGUAAGUCUGAUGUGAAAUCUCUGGGCUCAACCCAGAAAUGGCAUUGGAUACUAUUCGGCUAGAGGAGUGGAGGGGGGACUGGAAUACUUGGUGUAGCAGUGAAAUGCGUAGAUAUCAAGUGGAACACCAGUGGCGAAGGCGAGUCCCUGGACACUUCCUGACACUGAGGCACGAAAGCUAGGGGAGCAAACGGG
rnacentral:rRNA from 1 species